ACACGUCUACAUUAGAUACCCCUGUAGUCCCAGCCGUAAACUAUGCGCGUUAGGUGUAUCGGUGACCACGAGCCACCGAGGUGCCGAAGGGAAACCGUGAAACGUGCCGCCUGGGAAGUACGGUCGCAAGGCUGAAACUUAAAGGAAUUGGCGGGGAGCACCACAACGGGUGGAGCCUGCGGUUUAAUUGGACUCAACGCCGGGAAGCUCACCGGAUAAGACAGCGGAAUGAUUGCCGGGCUGAAGACUCUGCAUGACUAGCUG
rnacentral:rRNA from 1 species